GGUGCCAUAGCUCAGUUGGUAGAGCAAAGGACUGAAAAUCCUUGUGUCCCCGGUUCGAUUCCUGGUGGCACCACCU
rnacentral:tRNA from 25 species